CUGUGCGACUCCUGCCCGAUUCCCCCACCCAUCCGGCCCAGGCGCUCCUGGUUCUGAACGUGAGCUCUUCGCUUCUGUGGGCCCCAUGUUGGAAACUUGCAGAGGAAGUCGUGGGGCGGGGGCUCUCUCUUCCAGGCAGAAGGUGUGUGUGAGUGCGAGCAUGUACCGAGAGAGAGAUUUUUCUAGAAAAUUUGGAGUUAUGGAAAAGGAAAACUCUUCACGGGGCAGGGGGGACUUCCUUUGAAGUGUCAAGAU